AACGUCAACGCGUUGGCGCCGAAAAAGAAUUGUCAUUGUUAGAAAAUUGAUCGAAACUGCGACACGUUUUUUCUUGACCUGGCAGUUAGUUAGUUUGUAGUGAAUUGUUUUUAGCGAAAACAGUAUGUAUUUGAUCAUUAGUUAUUUGAUCAUCUUUUAAUGUAUUUUUUAUAGUAGGUGGAAGCUAUUUGGCCAGUUGCGCGUGAUUUUUGUGCUCGCGGUUUAGUGAGUCGGAAGAGGUUAGGUGAUAGAAAUUCCUUACUGCGCAAUUUGCCACUAAAAUAUUGUAUUUCCUUUGAUAGUUUGAGUGACCGUUCGGUUGUUCCGGUUAGGUGUACCGGGUUGAGCUCAAUUAGAGCGGUAGGAAAGAAAAAGCGUAAGUACGCAAGAAUACUUGUUUUGUACCCGAUGAUAAAUAUGAUUUUCGUCCAUUAGCUUCAAAUAGCCGGUGAUAUCCGACGGUUUAGGGUUGCCAGAGCUAGAGCUUAGGGUAAACGGCGAAACUUAUUUGUAAGUUCAUAAAAGAUUGUUUACAUUAUCACCAUUUAAUAAUAAAUGUAUUUACAGUCGAGUUCGUUCGCAUACAACGUACUACGGAACAGUUUUUAUUUCCCACAAAUCUCGAAAAUAAAGCUGCAACGAGCAACCUAAACCUGGAACCGAUGAUGGAAGGCCCUACCGGAGAGCUGUUCAACUGCGUGACAUGUCGCCGCCCGGAUUCAGCGCAGAGCAUGGUCGCUUGUGACGAGUGUUCGCAAUGGCAACAUUAUGGAUGCGCCGGUGUUACGGCUACCAUAGCCGAUCGAAGCUGGCUCUGCUGCAGAUGCGUAGCUAGUCACAACGCAGUUAAUUCGACUCAAACCGGCAACAUAAACUCGCCCGAAGCACACACAACGUUUGCUUCAGCUCGCGCCGCUGAACGUCAUGAUAAUACCACCGGUCCAAUAAGAGGGAGACAGGACGAUCCAAAUUUCGGAAGACUUCAAUCCUCGUCUAAUUCGAAUGCCGGAUCAGUCGUCUCAGUCAAUGCUAUUGCUCAUCUUCGUUUAAGGCACCUGAAAGAGCAAAAGGAUUUGGAGGAUCAAAAAGCGGAACGGGAUCGCGAGUUUCUUGCUAGAAAGCAGCAGCUAGAGGCAGAAAUAGCUCUAGAAGAGCUCAAUGAAGGAUGUGAUCGUAGCGUAGGAGGAAAAAGUCAUCGAAGUAUCGCCGGUUGGGUGGAACAACAAUGCGGAUUCGUGCAUACUUCUACCCCAGUCCAGCAGAAACCCGAGACAGUGGCUCCAAGUGCGAACCCACAUCCCGCCAUCCAACAGCGAGAGGAGCGGCAAAGAAUGCAAGCAGUUAUUCAAUCAGGUCAACAGAUUCAACCAAGCACUGUGCCAAAACAAGCAGAGAUUCCAGUGAGAAAUCCUCCCCCAGCUAUAGCACCGGGCCCAAGGAGCAAUUAUCUUGAUUCGAAUCCACGUUUUCCGCCAGUGGCUCAGAAUCCAGUUCCACCUGUACCAGUGAAUCCGCUAACAUUGCCACCGCCGAGCUCGUCGCAGUUCCCUGGAUUUCCAGUGAUGAAUAACCCCUACGGGACGAUGUAUUUUCCAAAUAUUCCUGACAUGCCGUCAUCUGGUGCUGAUUAUCAGUUUGCGCACCCUCAGGGAGGAGUCUUUAUCAACAACCCAGUCAGGCAUCCGAACUUUGGUUUGAAUGUACAGCCGUGUGCUUGGCAAGCAUCCGAGCAGCACCCGCCUACAGUUCCACCAACAGUGUCAGCAGAUUUGGGUAAAGGAUUUCCUCAUGCUACAGGUCGCAUGAUUACGCCACAGCAACUGGCGGCGCGUCAAGUUGUCUCUAGAGACCUCCCCAAGUUUUCCGGGGACCCACUCGAGUGGCCCAUGUUCUUGAGUGCAUUUGAAUCGACAACGGCCAUGUGUGGCAUACAACCCGACGAGAACCUUGCUAGGCUACAGAAAAGUCUUGUUGGUAGCGCUCGCGAAAAGGUUCAGAAUAUUCUAACGCUGCCGGAUGCAAUCCCGGAAAUUAUCGACAUCCUACGAGCCGAGUGUGGAAGGCCAGACCAAAUUGUAUACUGUCUGCUAUCCAAGAUCCGGAAAACCGCUCAGCCGUCUGUGACGAAAUUGGAGACGCUUGUGACGUUCGGCAGAGAGGUACGCAACAUGGUGACGUACAUGCAGUCAGCGAAACUGAACACCCAUUUGGACAAUCCACUAUUGCUGGCAGAGCUUGUUGCUAAGCUUCCACCCGACUUGCAGCUACAAUGGGGUAUGAAGUUAGCAGCUCUUCCGGAACCAUCGCUUGGCGAUUUCUGUGCGUUUGUGUCGGCUUAUCGAACAGCGGCAUGCAAGGUGAAAUUGACGUCGGAUGUUGGUCUGAAUGAAAAAGCCACAAAAGGUGUUGUGAGAAAGGAGAAGCCAGUUUAUUUGAACGCACAUUCCGCCUCCGUGUCCUCAGCGCCUGGACCACCGGCUUCGAAAGUUACUCCGGAGCUAAAGCCGUGCCUGAUGUGCAAAAGUACAACGCACAGAGUCCGAACUUGUAAGCAGUUCGAAACGUUGCCGCUCGAAAAGAAGCUGAGGUUCAUCAGCGAAACGGGAAUGUGUAGGCGUUGUCUGGCGCCGCAUGGAAGGUGGCCUUGCCGAAACAAGCAGCCUUGCGGGAUCAAUGGAUGCCCUGAGCCCCACCAUAAACUGCUACAUCCAGGAAGUUGUUCGACUCUCAAGAGUCAAGGAUCGGAAUCUUCUGUAUCGGUAACUGCCCAUCAUCAACACCAGCAAGGCACCACAUUCUUCAAAAUACUUCCGGUGACUCUUCACACGAACGGGAAGUCGGUGUCCACAUUUGCUUUUCUGGACGACGGAUCCGACCUGACGCUGGUCGAAGACGAACUUAUCGACGAACUGGGCUUGGUGGGCGAAAGAAUUCCGCUUUGCUUGCAGUGGACUAGUAACGUCACGAGAAGUGAGAGUAACUCUCGUAAGGUCGAGAUAGGUAUCUCAGGUGCUUCGAACAAUCGCAUCCAUCAGCUGGCGAACGUAAGAACCGUUGAGAGCUUGGAAUUACCGAAGCAGAGCCUGGAUUAUGAGAGUCUCUCGAAGCAAUUCCCCCAUCUGUGUGGACUUCCCAUCAGCAGCUACCGGACGGCCGUGCCACGAAUUCUUAUCGGUGUCGACAAUGCCCAGCUCAACUUAGCUUUGAAGAAGAGGGAAAGAUCCGGAGGAGAACCUAUUGCUGCUAAAUUUCGCCUCGGAUGGGCAAUAUUCGGUGGAAGAAGAGCACCUGAAACGAUAGGUAGUGCUUUCCUUCAUGUCUGCGAGAGCUCCAAUAGCCGCGAGCUCCAUGAACCGGUCCAGCAGUAUCUUGAAUUCGAAAACCUGGCGAUAUCCGGAUUGAUACCACCCGAAUCCGAUGAAGAUCGACGGGCCAGAAGAUUACUCGAAAAGACGACAGUUCGUAUACCAUCCGGAAAGUUCCAAAAUGGAUUGUUUUGGAAAAGCGAUGAGCCGGUUUUUCCGAACAACUUUACCAAGGCAGUACGUCGACACGGUUGUUUUGAAAGGCGCUUGCUGAAAGAUCCCGAACUGAAAACUAAUAUUGACAAACAAAUCAACGAUUAUCUACACAAGGGGUACGUUCACAAAGCAACGUCAGACGAGCUCCGCAACAGUGACGACGGAAAGAUUUGGCACCUGCCAAUCAGCGCAGUGCGACAUCCGAGCAAGUUAACAAAGGUGCGUGUAUUCUGGGAUGCUGCGGCUACGUAUGGAGGAAUCUUUCUGAGCUCCCAGCUUUUGUUCCAGUUGAUUAUUCGUUCGGCAGAUAGAAACGCACAACGAUAUUUGUAUCAGGAGAAUUCAGAAGCUGCGCUCGACGUGUACAUGGACGUCGCAACGUUCGGGGCAACGUGCUCCCCGUGUUCAGCACAGUUUGCUAAGAAUGGAAACGCCCAGGAACAUAAAGAUCGUUAUCCGGAAGCUGCUGAAGCAAUUGUUGACAACACAUAUUUUGACGAUUUCCUUGCGAGCUGUGCCAUUGAAGAGGCAACGAAACUGGCUUUGGAAGUGAGUCUGGUCAACCGAUCAGUUGGUUUUGAGAUACCUAGUUGGCAGUCGCACUCCAAACACGUUCUGAAACGGGUUGGGGUGACUACUGGAGAUAAUUUUGUAGUCAACAUGGAAAAUUGCUCGCGGUGUGGUGGUCUACCCAACAGAAUUGCUAACCUGCAUCAUUUUGUGCACCGCUUUAAGCGCUUCAAACGGGAUCCUGUGGAAUCUAGUGAGUCCUGUGGUGGUCUGAAUCGUGAUGAUUGUGUGUCGGCGGAAACAGCCAUUUGGCGGGCUGUACAGCGACAGGUGUUUGCAGGAGAAAUUCAAGCGUUUAGAAGCAGUUCUGAGCCUUCACCGAAGCGGUGGAAGCGUAUCGGCAAGGGAAGUGUCCUAGCGAAGCUAUCAUCGAUGAUCGAUGAGUCCGGUGUUCUCCGGAAGGCGAGCAGAAUCGAUCACCUAGCGGCUCAUUAUUCGUUCGAAGUUCGAAAUCCUGAGAUAGUACCAAAAAAUCAUGAUGUAAUCACUUCUUUGAUGCUGCGAUUUUACCAAAGGUACGGUCAUGCCAAUUCCCAGACGGUACUGAACGAGAUCAAGCUACGUUACUACAUUCCCCGGAUGAGAGCCAGUUCGGAGAAGGCAUUCAAGACUCUCUCGCACCAUCAAAGGCUAGACGAUGAAGGACUGCGAACAUUGCUCUCGAAAGCAGAAUUGAUAGUCAACUCCCAUCCGCUGACGUUCGUGCCGCUGGAGGAUCCCAAGGAAGAAGUGCUGACUCCAAAUCAUUUCCUUUGGCUAAGUUCCGGCGAGGACAGCAAACCACCAAGGGUACCAAUCGACGAUGCUACACCUCUUCGACCAAACUGGAAGAUUAUUCAACACUUAACAAACCAGUUUUGGAAGCGCUGGGUGCAAGCUUAUCUACCUACUAUAGCCUGCAGGAUGAAAUGGUUCGCGGAAACGCGGCCGCUGAAGGUCGGCGAUCUAGUGGUCAUCGUAGACGAGUCCGUGCGCAACGGAUGGCUCCGAGGUAAAGUGGUGAGGACUUAUCCAGGACGAGACGGACAAGUUCACAAGGUCGGUGGAGACUUGCGACGGAUCUACUCUUCAAAGACCAGCGGUAAAGGUUGCUCUGUUGGACGUGCAGGAGGAGAGUAAAGUCGAUUGACUACGACGUUACGGGUUGGGGUGUUAGUAGAACUGGCAACCUUGGUACGGAGAUCGGACAAACGUCAACGCGUUGGCGCCGAAAAAGAAUUGUCAUUGUUAGAAAAUUGAUCGAAACUGCGACACGUUUUUUCUUGACCUGGCAGUUAGUUAGUUUGUAGUGAAUUGUUUUUAGCGAAAACAUAGGUGGAAGCUAUUUGGCCAGUUGCGCGUGAUUUUUGUGCUCGCGGUUUAGUGAGUCGGAAGAGGUUAGGUGAUAGAAAUUCCUUACUGCGCAAUUUGCCACUAAAAUAUUGUAUUUCCUUUGAUAGUUUGAGUGACCGUUCGGUUGUUCCGGUUAGGUGUACCGGGUUGAGCUCAAUUAGAGCGGUAGGAAAGAAAAAGCGUAAGUACGCAAGAAUACUUGUUUUGUACCCGAUGAUAAAUAUGAUUUUCGUCCAUUAGCUUCAAAUAGCCGGUGAUAUCCGACGGUUUAGGGUUGCCAGAGCUAGAGCUUAGGGUAAACGGCGAAACUUAUUUGUAAGUUCAUAAAAGAUUGUUUACAUUAUCACCAUUUAAUAAUAAAUGUAUUUACAGUCGAGUUCGUUCGCAUACAACGUACUACGGAACAGUUUUUAU